UACGUAGGUGGCAAGCGUUGUCCGGAUUUACUGGGCGUAAAGGAUGCGUAGGCGGACAUUUAAGUCAGAUGUGAAAUACCCGAGCUUAACUUGGGUGCUGCAUUUGAAACUGGGUGUCUAGAGUGCAGGAGAGGUAAGUGGAAUUCCUAGUGUAGCGGUGAAAUGCGUAGAGAUUAGGAAGAACACCAGUGGCGAAGGCGGUCUGCUGGGCAGUAGCUGACACUGAGGCGCGACAGCGUGGGGAGCAAACAGG
rnacentral:rRNA from 1 species